AAGAAGCUCGUAGUUGGAUUUCGGAGUGGGCCAGUUGGUCCGCCGCAAGGUGUGUUACUGACUGGUUUGCUCUUCUUCGCAAAGACUGCGUGUGCUCUUGAGUGAGUGUGCGUAGGAUUUACGACGUUUACUUUGAAAAAAUUAGAGUGUUCAAAGCAGGCUAUUGCUUGAAUACUGAGCAUGGAAUAAUGGAAUAGGACUUUGGUCCCAUUUUGUUGGUUUCUAGGGCCGAAGUAUGAUUAAGAGGGACAAUUGGGGGCAUCCGUAUUUCGUUGUCAGAGGUGAAAUUCUUGGAUUUACGAAAGACGAACAACUGCGAAAGCACUUGCCAAGAGUGUUUUCAUUAAUCAAGAACGAAAGUUAGAGGAUCGAAGACGAUCAGACACCGUCCUAGUUCUAACCAUAAACGAUGUC
rnacentral:rRNA from 1 species